UACAGAGGUGGCAAGCGUUGUUCGGAAUUACUGGGCGUAAAGGGCGCGUAGGCGGUUCGUUAAGUCCUGUGUGAAAUCCCCCGGCUCAACUGGGGAACUGCACAGGAAACUAGCGGGCUUGAGUUCGGGAGAGGGAAGCGGAAUUCCGGGUGUAGCGGUGAAAUGCGUAGAUAUCGGGAGGAACACCAGUGGCGAAGGCGACUUCCUGGCCUGUUCUUGACGCUGAGGCGCGAAAGCUAGGGGAGCAAACGGG
rnacentral:rRNA from 1 species